rnacentral:rRNA from 1 species
CAGUCGAGCGAUGAUUAAAGAUAGCUUGCUAUUUUUAUGAAGAGCGGCGAACGGGUGAGUAACGCGUGGGAAAUCUGCCGAGUAGCGGGGGACAACGUUUGGAAACGAACGCUAAUACCGCAUAACAAUGAGAAUCGCAUGAUUCUUAUUUGAAAGAAGCAAUUGCUUCACUACUUGAUGAUCCCGCGUUGUAUUAGCUAGUUGGUAGUGUAAAGGACUACCAAGGCGAUGAUACAUAGCCGACCUGAGAGGGUGAUCGGCCACACUGGGACUGAGACACGGCCCAGACUCCUACGGGAGGCAGCAGUAGGGAAUCUUCGGCAAUGGGGGCAACCCUGACCGAGCAACGCCGCGUGAGUGAAGAAGGUUUUCGGAUCGUAAAACUCUGUUGUUAGAGAAGAACGUUAAGUAGAGUGGAAAAUUACUUAAGUGACGGUAUCUAACCAGAAAGGGACGGCUAACUACGUGCCAGCAGCCGCGGUAAUACGUAGGUCCCAAGCGUUGUCCGGAUUUAUUGGGCGUAAAGCGAGCGCAGGUGGUUUCUUAAGUCUGAUGUAAAAGGCAGUGGCUCAACCAUUGUGUGCAUUGGAAACUGGGAGACUUGAGUGCAGGAGAGGAGAGUGGAAUUCCAUGUGUAGCGGUGAAAUGCGUAGAUAUAUGGAGGAACACCGGAGGCGAAAGCGGCUCUCUGGCCUGUAACUGACACUGAGGCUCGAAAGCGUGGGGAGCAAACAGGAUUAGAUACCCUGGUAGUCCACGCCGUAAACGAUGAGUGCUAGCUGUAGGGAGCUAUAAGUUCUCUGUAGCGCAGCUAACGCAUUAAGCACUCCCCCUGGGGAGUACGACCGCAGGUUGAAACUCAAGAAUUGACGG